GACGGAGGGCGCAAGCGUUGUUCGGAAUUACUGGGCGUAAAGCGCGGGCAGGCGGUUUCUUAAGUCCUUUGUGAAAUCCCGGGGCUCAACUCCGGAUGUGCAGAGGAUACUGGGAGACUGGAGACCGGUAGAGGCUAGCGGAAUUCCUGGUGUAGCGGUGGAAUGCGUAGAGAUCAGGAAGAACACCGGUGGCGAAGGCGGCUAGCUGGGCCGGUUCUGACGCUCAUCCGCGAAAGCGUGGGGAGCAAACAGG
rnacentral:misc_RNA from 1 species